CAGAAAGCCAAGGACUGCACAGUGAAAACAGCCAUUCAACAAGAGCACCUCAGGUGAAUGGAUUACGACGAAGAUGGCGACGAAGAUGGCCUCAAUCGAGCCCCAAAGAAUGGCUAUAAAGCCUUAGAAAGAGGAAAAAUUCUGAAGGAGCUCUCCUCUCAACAGCUCAGAACAGAAAAACACAAAAGCUGUCUACUCAAGUUUUACAAGAUAAAACUUUUAUUUUGUGUUAUGGAAGAUUGUACAUCUUGUCGGUAACAUUCAAUGGUUCUCAGAGUCUACCUUGUGAAAUGUUUUAGGCUAAGAAGAGUCCAGCAACAGCUAACUGAGAGACCUGAAUAAAAGGGUAAAUUAAAAAAAAGAAAGAGAAAAAGAAAA
rnacentral:lncRNA from 1 species